rnacentral:rRNA from 1 species
AAGCGUCCGUAGCCGGUUUAAUAAGUCUCGUGGUAGAAAUCCUGUAGCUUAACUGUGGGAAUGCUGGAGAUACUAUUAGACUGAGACCGGGAGAGGUUAGAGGUACUCCCAGGGUAGAGGUGAAAUUCUGUAAUCCUGGGAGGACCGCCUGUUGCGAAGGCGUCUAACUGGAACGGUUCUGACGGUGAGGGACGAAAGUUAGGGGCGCGAACCGGAUUAGAUACCCGGGUAGUCCUAACCGUAAACGAUGCGGACUUGGUGUUGGGGUGGCUUUGAGCUGCUCCAGUGCCGAAGGGAAGCUGUUAAGUCCGCCGCCUGGGAAGUACGGUCGCGAGACUGAAACUUAAAGGAAUUGGCGGGGGAGCACCACAACGCGUGGAGCCUGCGGUUUUAAAUUGGAUUCAACGCCGGACAUCUCACCAGAGGCGACAGCUGUAUGAUAGCCAGGCUGAUGACUUUGCUUGACUAGCUGAGUAGUGGUGCAUGG